GGUGUUCCCACAACUGGCCGGCUCUGGGCCCAUCUUCCAGCACAGUGUUGGAUGGUCUACUUGUGAAGCUCCUAACACUGUCUGGUAAAGAUGGCCCCCGGGUCGGCUUCCUCGGCAGUGACCUU
rnacentral:pre_miRNA from 14 species